CUACGGGUGGCUCCAGUGAGGAAUUUUGCGCAAUGGGCGAAAGCCUGACGCAGCAACGCCGCGUGAGUGAUGAAGGCCUUCGGGUCGUAAAGCUCUGUCAAGUGGGAAGAACCUAUGUAAUGUUAAUAUCAUUAUAUACUGACGGUACCACUGAAGGAAGCACCGGCUACUCCGUGCCAGCAGCCGGGUAAUACGGGGGGUGCAAGCGUUAUUCGGAAUCAUUGGGCGUAAAGGGCACGUAGGCGGCCUGGUAAGUCAGAUGUGAAAGCCCGGGGCUUAACCCCGGAAGUGCAUUUGAUACUGGCAGGCUUGAGUAUGGGAGAGGGAAGUGGAAUUCCUGGUGUAGAGGUGAAAUUCGUAGAUAUCAGGAGGAACACCGGUGGCGAAGGCGACUUCCUGGACCAAUACUGACGCUGAGGUGCGAAGGCGUGGGUAGCAAACAGGAUUAGAUACCCCAGUAGUC
rnacentral:rRNA from 1 species